AAUAUAUUAUACAAAAUGGAUAUAGCCCUAGACUAAAGAGUAGUUAGUCCACUAUACUCUCUAACUACUCUUUAGUCUAGGGCUAUAUCCAUUUUAUAUAA